rnacentral:pre_miRNA from 1 species
UGUCUACUCCCUCCGUUCGAAUUACUUGUCUCGGAAAUGGAUGUAUCUAGAACUAAAAUAGGUCUAGAUACAUCCAUUUUUGCGACAAGUAAUUCCGAACAGAGGGAGUAGCUU